CUGUGAUUCCUGCGAUUUCUGCGACUUACCACCGUAUGAAAAAGUUACAUCUGUCAACACAGAAAAUUGCAUCUCAACAAACCUGUCAUUGGCAAGUACCUGAACUACAUUUCAGUCACUCAGUAAAGUGAUAACUCAAAAUAUCAUUGUCAACAGAUCUGAAGAAAUUGCCACUGCGUCUUUAGACCGUUUUCGUCAGACGAGAGACACAGUUCUGACCCUGAUUACUGGUUGCUGUACGUAUCUAUCCACAUCAAGGCUGUUUUUGAGAGAGACUCAUGAAGAUUCAAGACAGCUCUUAGAGGAU